rnacentral:rRNA from 1 species
GACGGAUGGGGCUAGCGUUAUUGGGCUUUACUGGGUGUAAAGGGUAUGUAGACAGUUUUAUUUUAUUUAUGUGAAAUGUCUGGGUUAAACUUUUUCAUAUUGCAUUAAUUUAAUAUAAAACUUGAGUUUAAACGAGGUAACUAGAAUUUUUAAUGGAGGGCAAAAUCCACCGAGAUUAAAAGGAAUACCAAGAGUGAAAGCAUGUUACUAGGUUAAACUGACGUUAAAGUACGAAAGCAUAGGGAGCAAACAGG